rnacentral:rRNA from 1 species
GACGAACCGUGCGAACGUUAUUCGGAAUCACUGGGCUUAGAGGGCGCGUAGGCGGGUUCUCAAGUCAGGGGUGAAAUCCCGCGGCUCAACCGUGGAAGUGCCUUUGAUACUGGGGACCUCGAGGGAGGUAGGGGCGUGCGGAACUUCCGGUGGAGCGGUGAAAUGCGUAGAUAUCGGAAGGAACACCGGUGGCGAAAGCGGCGCGCUGGACCUCUUCUGACGCUGAGGCGCGAAAGCCAGGGGAGCAAACGGG